UACUGCACACCAAAAUAAGCAAAGCACAUGUAUAAAUGUAAGAUAUGUGUAACGAAGUAAACAGUCAUUAAUUAGUAAUUAUUUAUAGUUAUUCAUAGCCAUAAAGGUUGUUAAUGAUCAGAAACAGGUUUAAUGUCAGUAAUAAGAAUCAAAAGUGUAAAAGACAAAUUUUUAUUUAUACUAUCUUAUAGUUUGACAAAAAAAGGGGGAAGUUACAGUCAUGUAAUAAUACAUGCUUAAAGCAUGAUCCUAAUAUUACCGGUUAUAAUGGACCCAAGGUUACAAUUAUCUCAAAUUAACAAAAAAUUAUAAAAAUCAUCUAGCAAUGCCCUACCCUUGUUCAUUGGGGUCUCAUUGGGUGGUUCUGAUCCCGGAUCCCGCUUAGGCGCUAACUGUUUUGUCAAAUUCCUGUAACCCGCUUACAUUAUGUACAUAAGCAAUUCUCAUUUUUUUUUCUGAAAUCCUGUGCCUCGCUUGACUUCAUCUCCUGUUUUCAUGGCACAAUAAUUUGACUUUCACCUGUCACGCUUACAAACAAUCGGAAAUCCUGCGUCACGCUUAGACCCAAAUGAGAUUCACUUCAUUGACAUAGUUGUUGAAUAUAAAACACAUUUUAGUUUACAAAUCGAAGGAAAUUUAUCAGUGAUAUAGAGAUUGUCCAACAACGAGCUGCUCGGUAUGUCUGCAAUAAAUACCAUAAUACAAGUAGUGUUAUGAACAUGCUUACUACAUUAUAUUUUCCAUUACUAACAGAAUGUAGGCUACAUACAAGAUAAGUAAUGAUGUACAAAUUAUCAUACCAUCUUGUUGCUAUUCCAUCAGUCAUACUUAUAAAAGCAGACUCAAGAACAAGAAAAAAACAUCCAUACAUAUGGGCAUAUUCAUACAUCAAAAGAUUACUACAGACAUUCAUACUUUCCAUACACAAUACCACAGUGGAACCAGCUCCCUGUGGUACUAGUUCAGGCACCAUCCAUUGAUAGCUUCAAGGAACAGCUCACUUCAGCUGUUCUCUGUUCUAUUAAUUAAAAGCAUUAAUUUAAAUUGUACAUAGUUUUAAUCACAAAUUUGAUAUUUUCAUUGCACUUUAAUUACAUUUUGUUUAAGUUGGGGUAAAGACUUGUAAAUAGUCCAAGUAUGUGAACAGUAUGUAAUCGUCGGAUGUCGAAAAUAAGAAGAAUAAAUAUGGUCUCUUCUUCUUCUUCCUAGUAUGGGAAAGACCCUGUUGUUGAAAUCAUAUGUUUACCUCCGUCAUAUGCAUGCUAUUCAAUGGUAAUUAUGAUGUUACCAUGCAUUCCUAAUUACACGAAAACCCAUGAGAAGAGGAUAUGUUUAUCGGCAGUCUCCAAUUUUCUAGUGAUCCUCCAUUUUGUAACUGCCUAUUAUUAGAUCAUGAAUAGGACUUGAUACUCUUAAAUGUUAGGUAAUCAAAAUGGUAAUGAUGUCACAUAUCAGUGCACAGUGAAAAAGAAGAAAAUUCACAAAUUUGCACUUACAUCUGACUUGAACACCGCUUUCAUAUUCAAAAAAGUUGUUUUAAAAAUAUGGAAAUUCUGCUAGAUUCAACCUUUAGUAUGACAGAUUUAUUCUUUGAAACAAAUAUCUUUUUUAAGAAUGCAUUCAUUUUAACUAACCACUCUUUCUAAAAUUAUUUUUUGUAUAUGGAUAUUAAAUCUACCCAGCAUCAAGAUGCAUUUUCUCCCUUUGAUGAUAAUACAUUUUGUAGUUGGAAUCUUGAUCUAAGCUAAUUUGUGCAAUAUUUGUUUACACAUUUUAUAUCAAUAAUAUAUCAAGUGUUUUAAUCAUCAUGAUCAUUCCUGUAUAAUCCAAAUAUGUGUCUGCGGAAUUGAGUGACCAUUAGCUGGAUUGCCUUUUUAUGCCCCGUUUAUGAUUCCCCAUUUAUGGGCAUUAUGUUUUCUUGUCAGUGCAUUCGUCUGUUUGUCUGACCCGCUUCAUGUUAAUGUUUGUCGAGGUAGUUGAAGUCCAAUCAACUUGAUACUUAGUACACAUGCUUCCUAUGAUGAUCUUUCUAAUAUUAAUGACAUUGAAAAUUAUACUGGGAUGGAUCAUUUGUGUACUAUGGACACAUUCUUGUUUUAUUUAUAUUUUUAUUGAACUAUUCUUUUGUAUUUAUUGUUUUUUUAAAUUCAUUUGCAAUUUUUUUCAGUAAAGUAAAAUGUCAGAAGAAUAUAAAGUAGGGAGCUUGUCUGAUGUCAUCAAGAAAUCAUCAAAAGCAAAGAAGAGGAAAUCAUCAGAAGGAGAAAUAGCCAAGCUAGCUUCAUUGUUUGGUGCACCAGCUAAAAGAUUUGAACCCGAGGCAA
rnacentral:lncRNA from 1 species